GUCAGGGGAGAGCCUGGAGGCAAGAGCUUAAGUGGAAGCCAGGGAAGAAUGCUGCCUGUUGCCUUGCCCCCUCGUGGCUUUCACGGCCUGCUUUAUUACAUAACCCAGGACCACCUGCUCAGGGCUGACACCACCUCCAGUGGGGCUGCCCUGUCCCGUAUCAAUCAUUAAUCCAGAAAAUGCCCCCAUAGAGCAAUCUGACAGAGGCACCUUCUCGGUUGAGCUCCCUCUCCAGAGGACCCUAGCCUGUGUGGAGAUGAAAGGUAAAAGCCUCCUUUGGCCUGGCCUUCAUCUGCUCUGCAAAAACGGGGCCUGGGCAUGAGGCUGGCAUCUAGCAGUCCAAGGUCAGUGCAGGGAGGUGUGGUCCUGCAGCGGGGCACGGGGAGGCUCAGCAUGGGAAGGAGCCACAGAGCACAUUCUCUGAAGUUUCUGAAGCCUCAGCCAGCAGAGCACCCUUAAACCAGAGAGGGCCACGCAUUCUCUCUCUCCUGGAGUCCCAUUAAAAACUGGAGAACCAUCACGGAAUUUAAACUUCAGGACAGUUUUGGAGGAUGGUUGAACUGUACCUCACCCUUGCAAGCAGAGGCUUCCAGAUGCUGUGAGAGCUCAGUCAUGACCCUCUCUCUCCUAGUUCUCGUUUUUUCUCAGAGAACACCGAGCAUCACGGAGCUGCACGGACAUCCGUCUCCCCAGUGCUAUGAAUAAGAGUUUUUGUUUGGAUCUGACUCUGUGUGGCUGGGCAACCUGUGUCCGGGGAGGUGAAAUCAGAGGAGCCAGGUCUCCCAGUCUCCGGGAGGGUGAAGAGACCAGUUUGCCUCUCACUUCUUCCCCGGAGCGUGAAAACAACAGGCCUGUCUGGCCUAGUUACCACACCGCGUCUCUCAAGUGUUUGCCGUCCACGCUGUUAACGCCUUCCAACGAUUCCCUUCUGUGCUGUGCAUCUAGUCCCCAGGGUGUGGGAGGACAGUCACCGGCAAGGGAGGAGCUCGCGGUGACUCAUUCCCCCAAAGAUCAUUCCUUGUGCUCUCAGGGCCGAGAUACGGCUCUGCUUUCAACGUGUAAAAAUAAACCCCCCAAGACAGGCAGUCUAAGUCCUCAGCCAGCCUUCCAUUUCUGGAAGGAAGCUCAGUCUUCGAGGGAAAGGGACUCCAGAUAAGUGCGUGUGCGUGUUAACUUUGGCUGGUAGAUAAAGACAUUUAGUCAUUUUUUAAUUAAAAAAAAAUCAAGUCUUGGGGCUUAGUGUAGCUUUCCUGGCAUGUAGAAGGCCCGAGCUUCCAUCACUAACACCCAAGGGGAGGGGGAAGCUCUUCUAAUUCCACAAAGGGUGUGAGGAUUAAAGACAGUGAUUGACAGCCCCAAGAUCUAGGAUUUCCGAGGCUCAGGGAACUGGGGGAGACUCCGGCUCAGAGCAAAACUGAGCUUAAGAAAAGGUAUCCAGGGUGCAGGUUCUCUGCAAAUGGGAGGAAGGGGGAAACUUUCCUACGGCAGGAUUUAUCCAGUGUGGGAGCUUUCGGUGCUGAUAAAGACACUCUCCCUGACAGGAUCUCUCACAACCUUCCAGAGAGGCCAAGCAGGGGCGAGGUGGGAGGAUAAGGGGUGGGGUGGGAGAUGUGGGGAGAGGGCUGCUAGGGCUCAGGCAGGAGACAGAAAUGCUGUAAUCCGAUCCUGAGGCUUCAGAACCCCCUGAGGGUAAGCCCUGGAAAGCCCACAGACCAGUGCUUCAAGACAAACUCCAGAGGCAGCCGCAGGCCAUCAGGGGACGCCCAGGGAGAGGAAAGACACAGAUCCACCCGUGGCAUCUCGCCCCACCACCCUCCCGAACCCGCUUCUGGUCCAUCUGAGGCAAGCCCCAUGGCCUCGGUGCCUGCCCUGUGAGACGAGGAGAAAAGCUGCUUCAAAGAAAAGGCAGGUCUUCUUCACCUGAGACCCUAAACGCCUGCUCUGGUGUUCAUCUUACCCACUGGCGCAAUCAGGUCAGGUCAGCAUUGCCAUCUGGGGACGAGGGUGGGUGUGGGAGACGCAGGAGGUGGGGUGUGGGCUGGGCUGCGCCACCCGGUGGCAGAAACAGGAACUGCACGCGCGCCCUGAUUCCUGGGCACAAGGCAGAGCACACCUUUAGAACAGUCGCUCAGAAGCAGCUUCCUUCUAGGGCUGCUCCCAUUCCUCUGGUUCUUAGGCCACGAACAGACUAAAUUUAUUUCUGAAACGCCUUCCCCUUCCCUCCAGGGAAAGGAAAACAGCCGUGGCAGCAAUGCUAACAGUGCUGGUGCAGAUGGUGACAGCUAACCACGUCGAUGGAAUUCAAAUUCCGUCCUACCGCACACGCCCUAGGUCAGUGCUGGCAGCCCAGGGCAGAGGUGACCGUCUUCAGCACUAUUACUAUAUGGGAGCUGGCUGCCUGGGUUAAACAUUACAGAGAGGCCGCGGUUUGUUCCCCGGCGGUCCUUGCCCUUUAAUCCUGGAUGCCCAUUGAGCGGAAGCGCUCCACCCACGGCUGCCUGGUGCCAGGAUGGCCAUGCCGAGCGCUCCUGGCCUUUCUCUUCCCGCCUUCAAGAAGAGAAGGGUUAUUCUGCGUUGCUAACUUUGCCUACCUAUGGGAGCAGAGAAAGGAAGGGAGUUCUCUCGUUGGAGGGUGCUGCCAGCUGGCACCAGAACACCUGAAGCCACCCACAGGUGCUUCCCGCAACACCCCAGUGUGCUGCAGCGCCACCUGGCUGCCAGAGCGGUGCUCGGCGAGGAGCGCUGGCCUGUAUCUCCACCUUGCCUGGUAGCCCGAGGCUGUCCAUCCUGCCCUACAGUGGGCGGGAGCCUGGGGUAGGUGGUCCCCUUCCCACUACUGCCGGCACCUAAAUGUCUGAGACAGUGUCUACGCAGGAAAGAAACGUUCUGCUGACGAUCCUCUCUGUUUCAGAGGAUCGGGCCUUCAGGGGUGGCGCUGUGUUCGGGGGCCAACAGAAAGCAGCAUGACAUCUCAUGGCUAAAGCUUCCCCCUUCAUGACACUGUAAGGCCAAAAGCAAGAUGAGGAGGUAGGCUGGGAUUUAGAGUCUUCUUCAGGGACAGCCCUAGUGACACACACACAUUAUGAAAGCCGUUGGGUCAGAUGGUGUGUGCGUAUGAAGAAUGGAGAUUGCUGAUGGAUUUGGGUGUGGCAUUACGAGAGGAAGAAGAUCCAAGGAUUCAUUGGACAGAUUGUCCUGAACAUUUUGAGUAAGAGAAACACAAGCUGACAUCCACUGCCAGGCAGAUAAAAUUUAAAACCCUUCGCAUAUUUUUAAAGUCUUUAAACUUCACAACACACCUGUGAGCCUUUAAGUAUUAUUGUCCCCAAUCUACGGGAGAAGAAACUGGUGUGCAGAAAGUUUGCAUGGAGGCACACAGCUAGAAGAUGGAAUCAGAGAUUAGCUGCUAUGUCAGGCUCCCUCUUUAAAAAGUUUUAAAACUACUAUUAUUUAUUUAUUUAUUCAUUCACUUAUGUGUGAGGGCAUGUAUAGGUCAAAGUUGAUCUCCUACCACCAUGGGGGUCCUGGCGUUCAAACCUAAGUUUUGGGCUAUACAGCAAACACCUUUACCCAUUGACCAUCCCACCCACCCCAUCCUCCCUCUUGAUAAAAGAGAAAUGUUAUUACCCGAGGCAGAACUGGCAGGAUGGAAAAUGAGUGGGUUUGGCUGCCAGGGGAGAGGAAUGAGGACUUCCAGUUUGAGUGUGUUCUGAGAAGCCGCACAAAUAGCCACAUGGAGAGAGUCCCUUUAGAGGACUGUGUGGCUGGAGAUGAGGACUAAGGGCUGCAGUGAGGGGUGCCAGGCCUAGGGUGAACGCUGGUGCAGAGGCAGAUGGUUAGACGUUCUGCCAGGGAACUGGGAGAGGGAAUGCUUAGGAGAUGUUUUCCUCAGGGAACUCCAGGAAGGUGCUGCCUUUGUUCCAGAAACGUCUCACGGGUACUUGUGCCACUGUGCACAUAACUCCAGAGUAUUCGCGAGCUCCUGCAACCCCCAUUCCUGAGACUGCACAGUGACCACCAUUUUCUAUACCCCAUUGCGGGAAGCCUUCUUCACCUGCCAUAUAACACCACAUUUCUAGACCUUUGAGGCAGUGUCUCCACAAGGAAGGACCUGUGCUCUUCUGGAGGGGUAAGACAGCAGCCACAUGUGUGCAGAACACAGCCUCUCAGACACCCAUCCCAAAAGUGUCACAUUUGUAGCUUUGUGGUUGCUUCGGCCCCAUGAGAAGCAGGAAGAUGAACGCAGAGCCCUGCACAUCUAUUCUCACCUGUGAGGUGAUGCCAUCACUCUGGAAGUCUCCACUCAGGAGUGUGGAGAGCAGCACAUCCCUGUUUCCAUCACCCACGCUGCUUCCCCGGCACUCCCAGACACUUCUUGUGGCUGUGUGGCUUCCAGCUGCCUUUCUGCUUGGGAGACCUGGGAACAGAACCUGGGUCCUCUGUAAGAGCAGUGCUCGCUGUAACCACUGAGCCAUCUCUCUAGCCCCUCUGUUUGGGAGAAUCCUUGCAAGGGAGCCCUGAAGGUCAGCCCCGCCCCCCUUCUCCUCUUCCUUGCACAACUGCAGACUUUCUCUCCUGUAGAAUCCAGGUUUGGAGAUGUGACCAGGAGGGUGUGGGGACAGACUUGUUUCCAGCGAGAGCAGUGAGCCUGUGGCAGCAUUCUGCAUCCCCUCUUAAUUAGCGCAUCUCUGUGGCUGAACCUUACCUGCCUCUGUCAUUGCCAGCCUGUCCUGGGGCCUAGGUACUCCCCAGUGAGGUGCCCAAACUCCCGAGUCCUGUAUUAGAAUAUUCCUUCCCUGCUAAGUCAGCCUGUUAGCCUUAGAUCCCACAGCAGGGCUGAGCUGAGCUCUCCCAACAGUCAAAUUCACGCCUCUAUGUCAGAACAGUGUUUGGAGUUUUCCUCUGUCUCCCCAUGAAUCACUGUGGCCUCUGCAAAGAGAAAGGCUUCUUUCUCACAAGGCCUUGGAGCCUCCUGGCAGUGGGCUGUGCAGAGGGCAGGUCUAAUUACAAAGGUUAGAGCAACAGCCAUCGUGUCCCAGGGACAAGCCUGUGUUUUCUCUGGCUCUAAAUGCAGCUUUACAAGUCUGGAUUCAUACUCAUGUCAUCCCUGGAAUUCCUCCUAGCUGCACAACAAGACCUGCAGAGACAGAUUCACAAAGGAGACAGUCUCAGAGCCAGAGGCCACUGUGGAGGCUCUGAGCUGCUCCUGGAUGGUGCCUGAAAUGCUUGCUGGUGGAAGAGGCUUGUGGGGCCCAAUAGAGAGACACCCCGGCCAUUUCAUAGGUUGGGGUACCGGGGGCCUCUGCUCUGCCAUGGGACACAGGCAGGAAGACAGGCAGACAGACAGGAGCUCACAAGCGUGCUGCAGAGGAAGGUGCAGCUUGUCCCUUUGACUCCUGCACUCACACAUCAAAGCUGGGAUGUGAGGCUGGGUCAGUGCCCAGUCACAGGCACAGACACCCCACUGGUGCCCGCUACUUACCAUCCUAUAGUUAAAGAGCCACGUUCAUACCACUCAAUAAAUGGUUGCUGCCCUGAGCCUCAGGCUCCAACCAGCUACACACACACACACACACACACACACACACACAGAUUAGUGUCUAUGUGGUAUCGAGCCCUGCCUUGUCCCUACCCAGCAGCAAUGAUGCCAGGCCACAUCUUAUGGGAUGGCAGAUCCAAGGGACCCCAGUGUGUCUAUGUGGUAUCAAGCCCUGCCUUGUCCCUAUCCAGCAGCAAUGAUGCCAGGCCACACCUUAUGGGAUGGCAGAUCCAAGGGACCCCAGUGCCGGGGAGCCACCAGCAUCACCGAGCUGGUGGGUGGGCGGCAGGUCAGCCUACCGGGUUGAGGCAGCGGUGGGGUGGUACUGAAGCGGAAGGAGGGCCGCGUGGGAGGCGUGCUUAGGCACAAAGCCCACAGGUAGGGCCGACUGGCAGUGUCUUAGCGUUGGCAAAUGACGGGCUUCUGCUGGCCAGGCACGGAGACACUUGCAGGAGAGACUUUGCCCAGUGCCAGAGCAAAUAACCAAGUGAACCCAUUUCCCAUAACAUGCCACGGCUAAUAUGCGCAGCCUUUCAGCUCAGCCCCCAAGGCUGGACAUCACUCCUGACAGUCAGCUUCAUCUCUCCGUCCCAUCCCUCACCGGCUGAAAGUCCUACCGAGACGCCGCAUUCCGUGCCAGACUCUGAUCCUGCAGAGGGGUUUCGUUGCAUGGGUUAGACUCUGUGCUGCCGGGUCAGUGCUGGGUGGCACUCAAUCACAGCCCAGUGGGCGUCACUUGGGGUUGGCUCCCAGCCCAGCGCGCAGCAGCAAGUCAUUCCUCGCAGAGCCACAACCUCCCCCUCCCCGGCUUUACUCACACCAGCUGUGUACCCCGUGCUUGCUAUGUGCUCGCCAGAACCUGCAACCAAAGGUGCCCACAGCUCAGCCCGGAGAAGCCAAAAGUUUGGCCCCGCUGGGAUCUCAGCCACACCCCAGAGAGAAAUGCCUCAGACUGGAUGCGAGUGUCUCCCAGUGUGUGACUCAGGGCAAGCAGCACAAAGGUGGCUCUCAGGGUCUCUGGCAGCUCUAUUCUCCACUUACCCAGGAGGGGUUUCAGCAGAACUCGAGCUGCUCAGUUACCCGCUGUGUUUAAGCCCCUCUGGCCUCCCGUUUACACCUGUUUUCCUCCGGCCGCACCCUCGAGUCAGCUGGGGAGCAUUUAGAACCACUGCUGCCCCGGGUCCCCAGAGGAGAGCUUGAUUCAAUGGCUGUGGCGUGGGCCUUUGUGUUCACGGCCCCCAGAAUUCCCCCGGAGGGUUCUAGCGAGCAGGCAAGGCAGAAGGACACAUCGCUGAUCCCUGAGUGUGCCGUGGCGAUGUUAACAGUUGUUGGCUCGACAUUCGCAUUUGACCUAGUCACCAACGCACCUGCAGCUGGCUCAUGCCUCCCACUGGUGGCCUCAGCUCUGUGCCUUUCUGAUCCACAACCUUUCAUAGAUUUUUUUUUUUCUCUAACUCUUCUGAGAUCUUAGUAGCUUUUAAGUUGUAGUUUUGUGAGUUGAGAGUCGGCCCAUGAAACACCGAUGAAAGCAAGCUAACGCAUUCCAAAAACAUGGGUGUGGAAAAACAGAUUGAAAAAAGGAAAAAAAAAAUUUAUUGUUUCUUUUGAAAGAUUAUUUUCAUUUCUUAACUAUGUGUGUGGCCGGGCACAGAUUUGCGUGCAGUGCCCUAGGGGACAAGAAAAGGCCAUCUAAGCCCCACUGGGGCUGGAGUUACCGGCAGUUGGGAACCACUUGGUAUGGCUGCUGGGAACUGAGCUCAAGUCUUCUGUCAGGGCAAUGCAAGCUCUCAAACACUGAGCCCUGCUGUGGAAAUGAACGUGUGAACGUGUUUUCAUUCUGGUCCCAGGUGUGGGAUGUGGGACUGAUUCAGAUGUCCACAGCAGCAGACCAUUUGCUUCGUGCGGCCUCUGAGAGGAGCUCUUUGCCAGCUGCAGAGAGUUUGAAUGUGAGGACUCUGGAGGGAGAAUAAAUGACAGAGCCCAGAGAGUGGAGAAAGGAGAAACAGGCUGCUCCUGGUUGCUGGUGUGAAACAAGCUGGAGAUCUGCCGAAACCAGGCCUGGACUGGCUCCAAGGAACUGCAUGACUCUAACCAGCAGGAAGCAGCUAAGAAACGACCGCGCCCCCAUCUCCCACUAACCCUCUCUCUCUCCUACCUGGUAUUGGGGUGUUGGAGGGGAUUGGGGUGGAGUAGGGAGAAAAAGAUAUACGAAAGGUAAAUAAAAGAGUUUUUAAAAAGUA